CUGCUGCCUUCCGUAGGAGUUUGGUCCGUGUCUCAGUACCAAUGUGGGGGGUUAACCUCUCAGUCCCCCUAUGUAUCGUCGCCUUGGUGAGCCGCUACCUCACCAACCAGCUAAUACAACGCAUGCCCAUCAUCAACCACCGGAGUUUUCAACCCCAUGCGAUGCCGCAUGAGAUAUUAUGGGGUAUUAGUACCAAUUUCUCAGUGUUAUCCCCCUGUUGAUGGUAGGUUGCAUACGCGUUACGCA
rnacentral:rRNA from 1 species